UUAAGCGACUAAGCGUACACGGUGGAUGCCCUGGCAGUCAGAGGCGAUGAAGGACGUGCUAAUCUGCGAAAAGCGCCGGCGAGGUGAUAUGAACCCUUGACCCGGCGAUGUCCGAAUGGGGAAACCCAGUGCAAUCCGUUGCACUAUCGUUAACUGAAUACAUAGGUUAACGAGGCGAACCGGGGGAACUGAAACAUCUAAGUACCCCGAGGAAAAGAAAUCAACCGAGAUUCCCCCAGUAGCGGCGAGCGAACGGGGAGCAGCCCGGAGUCUGAAUCAGCUUGUGUGUUAGUGGAACGGUCUGGAAAGUCCGACGGUACAGGGUGAUAGUCCCGUACACGAAAAUGCACAUGCUGUGAACUCGAAGAGUAGGGCGGGACACGUGGUAUCCUGUCUGAAUAUGGGGGGACCAUCCUCCAAGGCUAAAUACUCCUGACUGACCGAUAGUGAACCAGUACCGUGAGGGAAAGGCGAAAAGAACCCCGGCGAGGGGAGUGAAAAAGAACCUGAAACCGUGUACGUACAAGCAGUGGGAGCCUCUUUAUGGGGUGACUGCGUACCUUUUGUAUAAUGGGUCAGCGACUUAUAUUCUGUAGCAAGGUUAACCGUAUAGGGGAGCCGAAGGGAAACCGAGUCUUAACUGGGCGUUAAGUUGCAGGGUAUAGACCCGAAACCCGGUGAUCUAGCCAUGGGCAGGUUGAAGGUUGGGUAACACUAACUGGAGGACCGAACCGACUAAUGUUGAAAAAUUAGCGGAUGACCUGUGGCUGGGGGUGAAAGGCCAAUCAAACCGGGAGAUAGCUGGUUCUCCCCGAAAGCUAUUUAGGUAGCGCCUCGUGAACUCAUCUUCGGGGGUAGAGCACUGUUUCGGCUAGGGGGCCAUCCCGGCUUACCAACCCGAUGCAAACUACGAAUACCGAAGAAUGUUAUCACGGGAGACACACGGCGGGUGCUAACGUCCGUCGUGAAGAGGGAAACAACCCAGACCGCCAGCUAAGGUCCCAAAGUCAUGGUUAAGUGGGAAACGAUGUGGGAAGGCACAGACAGCCAGGAUGUUGGCUUAGAAGCAGCCAUCAUUUAAAGAAAGCGUAAUAGCUCACUGGUCGAGUCGGCCUGCGCGGAAGAUGUAACGGGGCUAAACCAUGCACCGAAGCUGCGGCAGCGACGCUUAUGCGUUGUUGGGUAGGGGAGCGUUCUGUAAGCCGUUGAAGGUGUGCUGUGAGGCAUGCUGGAGGUAUCAGAAGUGCGAAUGCUGACAUAAGUAACGAUAAAGCGGGUGAAAAGCCCGCUCGCCGGAAGACCAAGGGUUCCUGUCCAACGUUAAUCGGGGCAGGGUGAGUCGACCCCUAAGGCGAGGCCGAAAGGCGUAGUCGAUGGGAAACAGGUUAAUAUUCCUGUACUUGGUGUUACUGCGAAGGGGGGACGGAGAAGGCUAUGUCAGCCGGGCGACGGUUGUCCCGGUUUAAGCAUGUAGGCGGAGGUUCCAGGUAAAUCCGGUACCUUGUUAACGCUGAGGUGUGAUGACGAGGCACUACGGUGCUGAAGUGAUAAAUGCCCUGCUUCCAGGAAAAGCCUCUAAGCAUCAGGUAACACGAAAUCGUACCCCAAACCGACACAGGUGGUCAGGUAGAGAAUACCAAGGCGCUUGAGAGAACUCGGGUGAAGGAACUAGGCAAAAUGGUGCCGUAACUUCGGGAGAAGGCACGCUGAUGUGUAGGUGAAGCCCCUGCGGGUGGAGCUGAAAUCAGUCGAAGAUACCAGCUGGCUGCAACUGUUUAUUAAAAACACAGCACUGUGCAAACACGAAAGUGGACGUAUACGGUGUGACGCCUGCCCGGUGCCGGAAGGUUAAUUGAUGGGGUUAGCGGCAACGCGAAGCUCUUGAUCGAAGCCCCGGUAAACGGCGGCCGUAACUAUAACGGUCCUAAGGUAGCGAAAUUCCUUGUCGGGUAAGUUCCGACCUGCACGAAUGGCGUAAUGAUGGCCAGGCUGUCUCCACCCGAGACUCAGUGAAAUUGAACUCGCUGUGAAGAUGCAGUGUACCCGCGGCAAGACGGAAAGACCCCGUGAACCUUUACUAUAGCUUGACACUGAACACUGGUCCUUGAUGUGUAGGAUAGGUGGGAGGCUUUGAAGCGUGGACGCCAGUCUGCGUGGAGCC
rnacentral:rRNA from 1 species